UUUCCUGUGCGUAAACCACGCCCAGCUACGUCACACACUGUUUAUAUACAGGCUGCGCGGCUGAGGCGCGCCUUGUGUGAAGUUAAAAGAAAGCAGACAGUCUGGUGUGACAGUGCCGGUGCUAUUACAACUAACUUCCGCCACAUUAAGAGUAGUUUUUGAGCAGAGUACUCACUCUCUUUGGGUGAUUUCAGGGUAACUUUUUUAAACGCGCACAAUGGCAGAAAAGAUGGACAUAGAGGAAGGGAAAUCAUCCAACGGGGAGCCGCUGGCAAACGGACUGAGCAGCCCCAGGAUCAGCAGCCCUCAGCCUCUGUCCCAGCGUGUGAAGAAGAUAGUGAUGGCCAACUUACUGGUGAUCCUCACCGUGGCCGGGGUCAUCGUCGGCGUUUUUAUUGGACUCGGUGUGCGCAAUGCGGAGCUCACCAAAACCCAGAUAAUCUACAUCGGCUUCCCGGGCGAGAUCCUCAUCCGGCUGUUGAAGAUGAUCAUCAUCCCUCUGGUUGUGUGCAGUCUGGUGUCCGGGGCGGCCAGCAUUGACCCCAAAGCCCUGGGCAAACUCGGCGGCUGGGCUAUGCUCUUCUUCUUGGUCACCACGUUAAUCGCAUCGUCCAUCGGGGUCGUGAUGGCUUUCAUCGUGAACCCGGGCUCCGUGGCAACUAAACCGGUGCUUGCAGAAACGGGCAAAGACAUGCCUGUCCCCAAAGAAGUCAUAGACUCCUUCUUGGAUUUGAUCAGAAACAUCUUUCCCUCCAACCUGGUGUCUGCUGCCUUUCAAUCAUACGCAACCGACUACGAGUUUGUUCUCAAGAAUAACACCCUUAACAUCACAGAGAAGAUUCCCAUUGAAAAAAAUCAAGAUGGCAUGAAUAUUCUCGGUCUGGUGGUGUUUGCGAUUGUGUUCGGCGUGGCUUUGAGGAAGCUGGGACAAGAAGGAGAGAUCCUCAUCAAGUUCUUUAACUCCUUCAACGAGGCCACCAUGGUGCUGGUGUCCUGGAUCAUGUGGUACGCCCCUCUUGGUAUCAUGUUUCUCGUAGCUGGCAAGAUCGUUGAGAUGGAAGAUGUUGGCACUCUAUUUGCCAGUCUGGGAAAAUAUAUAGCCUGCUGUAUAGUUGGACAUGCCAUCCAUGGCCUUCUUGUGCUGCCUGCCAUCUACUUCAUCAUUACAAGGAAAAACCCAUACACCUUCCUCUGGGGGAUAUUCACAGCUCUGGCAACCGCCUUCGGAACAAGCUCGAGCUCCGCCACUCUGCCCCUUAUGAUGAAGUGUGUGGAGGAAAAUAACGGCGUAUCCAAGCACAUCAGUCGUUUCAUCCUGCCCAUUGGUGCGACGGUCAACAUGGACGGAGCUGCUCUCUUCCAGUGUGUGGCUGCAGUUUUCAUCGCUCAGCUGAACAACUUUUCCCUUAACUUCAUCCAAGUCAUUACCAUCCUUGUGACAGCUACAGCAUCCAGUGUUGGAGCAGCAGGUAUACCUGCUGGUGGUGUGCUGACCCUGGCCAUCAUCCUGGAGGCAAUAGGGCUGCCCACCAAUGACAUCUCUCUCAUCCUGGCUGUUGAUUGGCUUGUUGACCGUACCUGCACAGUGCUGAACGUAGAGGGUGAUGCCUUUGGAGCUGGACUCUUGCAAUUUUUUGUGGACCGCAAUGCCAAACAAGAGGAGGGAGGCGAGCUAAGCGAGAUCAGGCUGGAGGGAGACCCAUCAGUUCCCGCCCCCGAGCGCUCACCGCUCAUUGAGAAGCGAGGUUUGAAGGAAAACGAGUCGGUCAUGUAAAUCCAGCUGCUGACAUCAUAAAUGACCUCUUAUUUGACACUCGUGCAAGCUGGAACCUGAGGUUCUUUUUUUUCUGCCAUGAAGAAACUGGGUGAGUGGAGAUGAGAGGAUGAACAUGCACGCCACCAUACAAUGCAAAGAUAAGCUCUCUGUCAUCAACACUCUUAUGGAAGGAAAGCAGAAAAACAAGGCUUUUUUUUUUUUUUAAUCCAUUUGAUUCACAGUGACAUUUGUUACCUUUUUUAGGGAUAGCGUUACACGUUAGACCAAUUGUUAAACUACUGUGUGUGUUUGUGUGUGUCUGGAGACUAGUGUUGGUUGCAUUAAGUUAGUCCAUCAAUUUUAAAGUCAGAAUUUCUUGACAUGGCCAGUUGUAUAAACCAGGUGUUCAUGAGUCACAACUAAGUUUAUCAUGUGACCAAUGUAGAGCUCCACUUGGACGUCAAGAAGCUGGACUGGUGACUCUCUGCAGGAUGUUGUUGAAUGUCAGAUCAAAUGUUACAAAAGGAAGAAAUGGUAUGCUUGUUAGUGAUGGAGAAAUGGAAGUUUUGGAUUUGUACCUAUUGGCCCACUGUUCCUUAUCUUGUGUACACAAACUGUAUAUGGUAAUUAUGACUUCCUGGUACACAUUUCUGACUUUAAAGUUGACGAGGACCACAAAACGACUGGCUGCAGCCAGACACAACAAGACACAUUCUUACUCAGAUUUUCCAUCUGGAAUCAAAUUAGCUUUUACGAUGUUUUUGUUACUGUUUUUGUCCUUUCUGUGUUCAACUUUCAACAACCCUAGGUUGUAAAAUGUGUCAUCAUAGGCUUUGAAUAUGAACAUUAAUUAUUUGUGUAUUUUGUUAUACAUGAUUAUGACCAUAGUCAUGCAGAUUUCACUAAUGUAUUUAAACUAUAGGUCUUGUAUAGGAGUUGUCAUAUUUAAAGAAUCUGAACUCUAGUUUAACCAUUCUGUAUAGUAUGCAUGAAAAUGUCUAUUAUAAUGUAUGACAAAAUGCACAAACAUUUGUUGUUUUUUAUUAGUUUUUUUUUUUUAAAGGGGAAGAAAGCUUUUAUUAGUCUGUUAUUGUUACUCCAUGGCAAUGUUUCUCUUACGUACAAUACCUUUCUCAUAAUGAGAAAAGGCAACAGAGCUUUAAACGUUGUUAACGAGAUUAUAUUUAUGCUCUAAAGCACACCAAAUGAAAUAUCCUCAAUAACUGCCCAAAGCUGAAUUAACAAACUUUUUCUCAAGGACUCCAAAUAUGUCACCCUGCUUGGACAUGGAUUGAACUCUCCAGCGUUUCUGCCUCUCCACAUGGACCUCAGUUGUGAUGGCAGGCAGCAUAACCUCAGGUUUAACUAUGGCUUGAAGACUGUCCUUAAUACACUAAGACCAAAAAUCACACCAGUACAACGGAAAGGGAGACUUUUGAACUCCUGAUCAUUUUAUUUUUUUAAUUAUAGCCCACAAUUUACUUCUGCUGCUGCUGCUCUGUUAAGGUCCCGGCAUCUCCGCAAGGCACAAAUGGGUUUUAAAGCACAGUGUGUGACAAGGAUAGUCUGUUUGUUUGAUGUUGUGUAAAGUAUGGUGUGACUACAUGUGAUGUAUGAGUAACAUCUCCUUCCACUACAAGGAUAUCUCUACAUUGUCAGAGGAGCAGUAGUGGACUGCUGGUUCAUUAUGACCGUUCUAGCUCGAACACCUAAAGGACUUAAGUAUGUCUCAGCUUGUUUAGUUUGGCUGUGAUGGCCAUAAACAGGAAAUACUAGUUAAAUGAGGUUUAGGCCUCCUUGUAUGUCAAUGUUCAUGCCUAAGGUAACUGUUAUAAUUUAUAUUUAUUUCCCUAAUCAAAAUCCAAAGGAACUUUUAGUCAAUGUUUUCACAUGUUGGUAACUCCAAAUUUCCCUUUUUUCCCCAGUGUCUUAUUGUAAUAACUGGUUGGUGAUGGUGUCCUGUUGUUGUUAAUAUGUUGGUCCUCCUUAUGGGUCAGAGUCUAGUCUGUGUACAGUGUGCUUCCAUUUGGUGACUUCUUUUUUUUUCCUUCAACACUUGAGAACGUGUGUGUGUGUGUGUGUGUGUGUGUGUGUGUGUGUGUGUGUGUGUGUGUGUGUGUGUGUGUGUGUGUGGUGGUGUAUUUGAGGUUGGAGAAUGUACAGCGUAGGUGUGUAUGUGAGUGUGACAUGAGGAGGCACUAAACAGUCGCUAACCAGUGUUGGAACAAAUAGCUUUAAUUUCAACCUCAUGGCCAAGUCUCAUUGUUUGUCAGAGUAUUAAAGCGUCCCCGUGAUUCUGCCUCUACUUAUGUGUGCGCAUGAGAUUAAAUGUCACUCUGCUGUACAAGAUGAAUGAACACAUUUCCACAAUCAUGAUGCAUUUUUAAUACAGAUUGAGUUUGACUCCGCAGACUGAGGCGCUCGCACCAUAUUAACCAGCUGAAGUGUGAGGCCGGGUCUCUAUGCGCUCAACAAAUGACGCUGAAUGUGUCAUUUGGUGCUUUUUACUGUACAGAAGAGUGUGUGCGCGUGUGUGUCUGUAUAUGCACUAGUUAAAUCACGGUGCUACAAAAUGACCUUGUCAGUCUUGAGUCAGAAUCAGGGACAUGUUUUGUGUAUGUGUGUGUGUGAGAGAGAAAGAGAGACUGUGUUUCUCACUCAUCGGGCUACAGAUCUACAUAGUGUGAAUCGACUUUUUAAAUGACAUUUCAUCGUUGAAUCAUUUCAUUAACUGUGGUCACAUUUCAGAAAUGUAACGGUCACUGUUUUCAUUAGAGGGAUGUGAAUACAGUUAGAGCCGAUGGUGAUUAUAUUACAGCGAGGACCGCCUGAAAAUAGUUUCCUCCGACGAGAGCUGCUUGGAUUGUCUUUUUCAUUUCAUUUUGAAGUCAGUAGGCGGUGCUCAGCGUCUGGCUUGUUGUUAUUUAUUCAGGCUUCUCCCCUCCGAAAAAAAAAAGAGAAACAAAAGAAAAGCUUCUUCACUUGUGUGUCAAAGCGAGGUUUCCCCUCUUCUUGUCUGACAUUACCCAGAGAGCUCAUCACGUGAAACUUCUUCUUCACUUUCUGAAGAGGCAUGCUGGGAGAAAUGGCUCCGGGGAGGGUGGGGAGGGGCAGAAGGAAGUCCAUUUUAAAUUCACUUUUGUUGUUUCCGGAAGAAAAAAAGAAAGUAUUGAUUUAUGAUGCGUGGGUGUCAUUACUCCGCACAUAAUCUGUCUUGCCAGUCUGUUAUGGUUCUGCUAUUUUGAACAUAACAUUUGGCUUCGCUGGAAACGUUGCUCCUUUUUGACACACACCCAACAUCCAUCUCUGUUUGUGUCCUGCAUUUAUACUGAUAACUGCAGGGUGCAUGUUUGUUUGCUUUAGGUGCAGGUUGCCCCCUUAACAGCUGACCUGACUUCAAAUUAUUUGACUGUUAAUUUCAUAUUAGAACCUGGAGAUGACUGAUCCAAUAUGGUGUUUCAAAUCAAUUGGUUAAGGGGCACCCACCUUCCUCUUCAGGAUUACAGGGUCACACUAGAGGUCAGAGGUCAGAUCUAAGGGGCUUCAAAGUAGCCUGGAGGUAAACACUCUUUUCCUAAUCACUAGGGACACUAGCAUUCAUAGUUCCAGUUUUUUUUAUUUCCAGAAACAGGGUGGUAUAUCGAACAACCAGGUGCAACUACAUUAUUGUACUGCUGCUGGGCAUAACGUCCUGUUAUCUCUUUUUAACUACUAUAUGGUUCCACUUUGCACUACAUCUAAUAGUCGAUGUGUUUGUUGAGGAGUGGUUACUCACAGGGUGCACAAAAUAAUGUUUUUGCACGUAUUUCUCAUACAAUCUGGAGUAAAUACUACAAGGGUGGAACCUGCUGUGGCUCAAAGUUAUUUGAUAGUGAGACUUACUGAUGCUUUCUUUUCACUCUGAGCUACUAUGUCCCCUCUCUGAGGAUAAAGACAAAUCAGUAUGACACAUCAAGAAAGGAAAAAGAAAUCAAAACAGAAGUUGUAAAUGAUGACUAGAAAUGCCAUUGUGUGCUGUAAAUGUCCAUCAUUUCCUUGUUUUCUUUCUUGCAUUUCUUUUCUUUUGAUUAUGAAUAUGAUUAUUAAGAUGUAAGAAUACUGUAGUAUCAUAAGUGAAUCAUUCUUCCUUGCUAGGCAUAGAACUUGCUUGUGAUUGAUAAUGGCAAUGUAUAACUUGUAAAAAGCAAAAUGAUUAAAAAACAUGAAAAAUGAAAAAAAAAGUAAAAAAAAAACAAAAAUCUGUUACCAGUCAGAGGCCAAGGUAAAGGACUCUCAUUUCUUUGUGUUUUUAUUUUUUUAUUAGCAAUUUAUCACUGUGUGAUAUUUUGUACAUCAUAUUAAGCUGUAUUCAAACUAUUUCCUCUAACUACAAGGGAUAAGAGACCUGCUUUUUAUUAAUUUUGUUUUAUUAUAUAUUUUUGAACUGCAUUCUAGCUUGUAUCAAAUGACUUUCUCUUUUUGUUUUACGGGUCCCCUGUUGUAUGUCAUUAAGGAAGAAAAAAAUGAAGAUUUUGUACAGUGGA